AAGCCCCGGCACCUCUAAUGGGUGCUUCUUCGAGUUUGCAUCUCGCUGUGCGUCUAGCCGCGGGG
rnacentral:tRNA from 1 species